UCCGGUGUAGUCUAGUGGUUAGGAUACCUGGCUCUCACCGAGGAGGCUCGGGUUCGAUUCCCGGUACCGGAA
rnacentral:tRNA from 1 species